CGCCACGGUCCAAUUAGCUGUGCUUAUUAGCCGGUAGCAGGAAGUGGCCAGUAUACAAAACUUGAGAGGAAACAGAUUGUAUUUCUGCUCCAGAGCCAACUACCAGCGCCGGAUUUUGUUGUCAUUAAGCUGUGUGUGACUGUAGAAGAGUUGGCCAGGCUUCUCUUUUUGAUGGCGAGCUAAGGAAAAGAAGCAUCUAGUCCAAGGAUGGUUCUUGGAAGAUUCCAGCCAGGGACCCCACCACCCGUUCUGCAGGGCCGAUACGGGACUGACUGAGAAGCCUGAUGGUGAUAAUCCCUCAGCAGUGUUGCCCAAGGGUCUGACACCCAGGUACCGACCGCUCUGUCUUCUUGUCGUGGUCGUGACAAAGAGGAAAUGUGCGUAUCCGUCAACAAAGGAGAUGUUUGAACCCUGAAGCCGGAGAGAAGGAAGCGAGGGUUGUGACAUUGAGGUGUAAUGGACACUGACGGCCCGGUUGUGCUUGGCUGCAAAGAGCACAUUUGACGGCGACUCAUUAAUUACCAGGAGCAAGGCAGCCAUCUGAAGCCUUCAUGUUGGCUGCCCAUCACCUGCUGCCGCUUACAAAUCAGCUCCUGGAAUGCAGAGAAUGGCAGCCACUGUCAGACUGUCAGCACCGCUUUGUCCUGGCGGGGAAGAACAGGCCAGAUUAGCCCAGCUACUGUUGGUCCGGGCCAGAACAGGACUUGUUACGACCCAGUGAUGAGCGGGGAAAGGUCAAACAAAAAAGUACAAAUACAAGAUUUCAGGAUCUGUUUUCUUGACAAACCACGCGAUGUAGGCUUGUACGGUUUACUGGUACUAAAAGUA